GCGGUAGACUAACACUUUUUCCUAAUUCAAAAGUUUGAAUAGCUCACAUGCAUAUCUAUUAGUUUUGUUCCAUUUUAUGCAAGUAUAUGAUAGUGCAAAGGUAACUAUUGCAAAACAUCAAACAGAAAUGAAUAAUUAUAAAUUGAGUAUUCUGUCAAAUAUAUACUAUCAGUUCCAGAAACUCCGGCUGAUAUAUGACCAGCCAUUUACACUCUACAUGUUUCAAGUCACAGCAAAAAUCCAGGAGAUCUCGCGACGUCGAAAUGAAUGAGACUAGUCGUCGUCGAAUAGAAAUUCAUUUCCAAACUAAUACUCAGUGCACGCGGUGCCUUUAUAUUUUUUAUUUUUUCUCAAAUUUUUCAUGCAGGCCUAGGACCCAGUGUGCUGUCCACCAUUAAACCGAGUUACAAAGUUAUAAACGAUACAGACAUAAGAUGAAGAAAUACCAUGAACUAGAUCCCGGCUAUACAACGGUUGCCGGUUCUAAACCGUUUCUCACUUAUCAGCUAAAGUUCGGCUUCAUUCUUGUCUGUUUUUCCGUCACUAUUCACAAGUAAAGCGUCUCCUUGACCUUUAUUCAUAUCAUCCAUGGUCUCCAAGGUUGGUGUACCCUUGGUCUCUGGUAAGAAUAAUGCAAGUACAGCUGCUUGAAGACAUAUUGCUCCCAUUAUGCUGUAUGGGAGUGCUGCAUGAAUGCGAAUCUAGAAAAUAAUUUAA